rnacentral:tRNA from 1 species
GCGUUCGUGGUGUAGUGGUCAGCACGCUGGGCGCAUAUCCAGAGGUCUGUGGUUCGAGUCCCGGCGAAGGCG